AUGGACCAGUCGUGCCACUUCGGUUCCGAGCGCGCCGUCCUCCCCCCCCCCCUGACGACUGCUCGCUUCCUUUUUUGCC
rnacentral:sRNA from 1 species